rnacentral:rRNA from 1 species
AGCGAACGCUGGCGGCAGGCCUAACACAUGCAAGUCGAACGAAGCCUUCGGGCUUAGUGGCGGACGGGUGAGUAACACGUGGGAACGUACCUUUUGGUUCGGAACAACUCAGGGAAACUUGAGCUAAUACCGGAUGAGCCCUUAGGGGGAAAGAUUUAUCGCCGAAAGAGCGGCCCGCGUUAGAUUAGCUAGCUGGGGGGGUAAAGGCUCACCAAGGCUACGAUCUAUAGCUGGUCUGAGAGGAUGAUCAGCCACACUGGCACGGAGACACGGGCCAGACUCCUACGGGAGGCAGGAGUGGGGAAUCUUGCGCAAUGGGCGAAAGCCUGACGCAGCCAUGCCGCGUGAAUGAUGAAGGUCUUAGGAUUGUAAAAUUCUUUUACCAGGGACGAUACUGCCGGUACCUGGAGAAAAAGCCCCGGCUAACUUCGUGCCAGCCGCCGCAGUAAGAC